rnacentral:misc_RNA from 1 species
AAGUCGUAACAAGGUUUCCGUUGCGGAAGGAUCAUUAACACGUAUCCAACGUUAAAACAACCCCGUGAACUUUCAGCUUGCUCCAGCCCGUGAAAACAGCAAUCCUGGUAAAGCAUAGCUUUGAGUCAGGGCUCUGCCGAUUGUGAUAUUUUAUAGCUACGGUUGAGCGAUUGCAUCUAGUGACCUGGCAUCCCCAAGUAAUCAGUGUCUGAAAGUGUCAUUGAUUAUGUAAGGAUGGCGCAGUCACGAUCGCUGUAGGCCCACACGGCCGGCGACCGGGUCACCGGGCUCUGCCCCUUUACGACAACACAGUACGAAUUGGCCGCGCGUGAAAUUCGCACGGCACCAAAAACCGAACAACUGUUAACAAUGGAUAUCUUGGUUCUC